GGGCAACAGUUAUCACACUGCUGAAGUUUUCUUCAAAGGUGGGAUCUGAAAGCAAGUCUGUAGAAAUCUCAGGCUUUAGAGCAUUCUUGAAGUUCAUGAUAUAAUCUAAAAGAUUGGAGUACUAAGGAACAAACUGGUCUAAGGCCUACCAGGCGGUUAAGAGCACAUUUGACACUGGGACCCAGAUUAUUUUUGGUGUCCUCAGUAGAUGGAUUGGUCUGAAAGUAACUGGUCUGCCACCAUCAGAAACGUAAGUCUGCCAAAGACUAACGAAGUAAAGCUGUACAGGGAUUGCAUAACUACAAACAAACCUGGAAUUCAAGAAAAUUUCA